rnacentral:rRNA from 1 species
GCUUACGGCCACACCGCCUGGUUCACGCCCGAUCUCGUUUGAUCUCGGAAGCUAAGAUAGGCUGGGCCUGGUUAGUACUUGGAUGGGAGACCGCCUGGGAUUACCAGGUGCUGUAAGAU